rnacentral:lncRNA from 1 species
GAUGAUAGUGAGAGGUAAUGUGUCACGUGAGAAAGUGAGGUGCAUGGAUGUAGGUGAAUUUGUUGUGAGUGGAGAGAGAAACGUCAGAGUGAGAAAGGUGAGAGCCACAUUUAUUUCUUUUUUUUUCUCUUUUUGUCACGUUGGCCACAAAGAGUGAAGGUAGUGAGUGGGUAUUAAAUGAGGAACAGUAAUUCCAAUUAUUUCUUUUUUCCUUUCUUUAUUUGAAUGUUAAGUGAUUUGAGAGAGAGCAAGUGGGAGAAGAAAACGUGUCAACUGAGAGAGAGGAUCGUGAGAGUGUGAGACGCGUGGGUAGUGUGGAGAAACCGUUUCAUUUCUUUUUCAUUUUAUCACGCGUGAGAUUGGAGAAAGAGGGUGAGGUGGCCGCGUGUAAGGUGGAGAAGAGGACAAAGUCUUUUCUUUUUUAUUAAUACUUCUUAUUAUUUAAAGAAAAAUAUUCAUUAAAAAUUCUUAGAAAGUAACUUACUUUAGAAAAUUAUAAUAAUAAAACAAAU